UAAAUACACACUCUGAUUAAUGUCAGAAGUUUCUAGAGGAACAUCAGACAUGAAAGUCUGAUCUAGGAAUCCAAACUGCAACUGGGAAGCAAAAACAGUGGGGGAAGUGGAGGAGGGGGCCAGCAGGACCAACUAUUUCAGAGGAACAGUGGGAGGCCUGACACGCUUGCGACAUGGAAAGAAGGCCCGUAUGGUCAGAGCACAAGGAGUGUCGGGAGUUGAGGCUGGAGAGGCAGGCAGAGGGCAGAGCACAGGGGGCCUGGAGGGCCACAGCAAGGUGGUGGGACUUUAUCCGAGGGUAACUGGAGCCUUUGAAGGGUUUUCAAGGCUCCUUCUGGCAGCUUGGUGGAAGAUGCAGUGGAUGUUGGCUAGAGAACACCGGAGAGGCCAGAAGGAAAGCUGCGUCGGUAAUUCAGGUGAGGUCAUGGCGGGUUUUGAGAUGCUGGUGGCAGUGGGAUAGUGAUGUGGGAGCUGACAUCAUAAUUUUGUAACAUGGGGUGCUGAGGUAGACAAAGGAGUUAAAGAUGAUGUUUAGGCUAACUCUUGAGCAAGCUGGAGGGAUGUGUAGCACCUUCCCUAAGGUGCUGGGGGGUGAAGGACCCAGCACGAGGUGUGGCAGUAAGAGGGCAGAGGAAGAGCUCACUCAGUAUGGGCCAUGCAGAACCAAAGAUGCUUUCGAGUCAUUCUGCAGACAGCUCUUAGAAGAAGCUGGCUCUGUGGGCCUGGAGCUCCAGAGAGCUGUCUGGUCGAGAACCACGGGUCUGGGCUCAUCAGCACACGGACGGGAAACAUUUAAAAAGGGAAAAUAUUUGCCAGAUGUCCCACAGCCAGUGGCAGCGUGCAGAACUUAAACAUGCCAUGACCUCAGAUCUUAAUGCACAAAACCCGUUACUACAACAUCUCGGGGAUGCUAAGUCAUUGGAAUGGAGCUGAAGCCACGUGUCUAAAUAAAGCCUUAUUUCAUGGA